AACAUAAAGUUUUGGUCCUAAACUUACUGCUAUUUUUAAUCAAAAUUACACAUGCAAGUAUCCUCCCACCAGUGAAAAUGCCCAGACUCACAAAACAUGGAGCCGGUAUCAGGCACGAACUUCAGCCCAAAACACCUUGCCACGCCACACCCACACGGGACAUCAGCAGUGAUAAACAUUAAGCAAUGAGUAAGCCACCCCACUCGACUUAGUUAUGAUUAAUAGGGCCGGUCAACCUCGUGCCAGCCACCGCGGUUAUACGAGGGGCCCAAAACAGCAGCCUACGGCGUAAAGAGUGACUAGAAUUCAUGCCCCACAGAGAGAUUAACCCCAGCCUAACCGUAAAACCUAGGUCAAAGGAACCCUUUCCUCUCUUAUUAAGCAAAUUUGAACCCACGAAAACUAAGGCACAAACUAGGAUUAGAUACCCUACUAUGCUCAGUCGUUAAUAUGAUAUCCUCCAACAUGGAUAUCCGCCAGAAAACUACAAGCUAAAGCUUAAAACUCAAAGGACUUGGCGGUGCUCCACAUCUGUUUAGAGGAGCCUGUCCUACAACCGAUACUCCACGUUAAACCUUACCAUCUUUUGCCCCCAGCCUAUAUACCGCCGUCGUAAACCCACCCCACAAGGGCCCAACAGUAGGUUCAACCGUCCCCCCAAAAACGUCAGGUCGAGGUGUAGCUAAUAAGAUGGCAGCGAUGGGCUACAUUUUUUAACAUAAAACACUACAUCCCGGAGCCAUGAAAAACUCCUACAGGCGGAUUUAAUAGUAAAUUAGGCAAGAAAGCCUUUCUUAAACUCGCUCUGGAGCGCGCACACACCGCCCGUCACCCUCCUCAAUAAACAAUACAACACUACAUAAUCCCCCAGCCACAUCAAGAUGAGGUAAGUCGUAACAUGGUAAGCGUACUGGAAAGUGCGCUUGGACUCAAAAAGUAGCUUAAACUAGAGCACCUAACUUACAAUUAGGACGUAUUAGAAUCUUUUUGCACCUAAAAAUAGCUCACCAACCAACACAAAAUAAAACUUACCAAACAAAUCAUUUGUCACGGCCAGUAGAGGCGAUCAACC
rnacentral:ncRNA from 1 species